AGAAAAUAGUGGAGGAUGUCCUUCCCCUACGCCCAUCCCCAAAUCCGAGUACUGGUGGUGAUACACCAUUUCUAUAUAGCCGUAUAGAAACUGUAUUUACAAAAUAGAAAUAAAAUUGUAAUGUUUGCCUUUCUGUUUUUCCUCGCUAAACUAGGAAACGGCUAGAUCGAUUCCGAUGGAAUUUUAAUUACGUGGUUACAGAGUAUUUUUCCUUAGGUAUAUG